CCUACGGGCGGCUGCAGUGAGGAAUAUUGCGCAAUGGAGGCAACUCUGACGCAGCCAUGCCGCGUGCAGGAAGAAGGCGCUACGCGUUGUAAACUGCUUUUAACCGGGAAGAAACCCCAGGACGUGUCCUGGGUUGACGGUACCGGAGGAAUAAGCACCGGCUAACUUCGUGCCAGCAGCCGCGGUAAUACGAAGGGUGCAAGCGUUAUCCGGAUUAAUGGGGUUUUAGGGGUGCGGUGGAGUCGGUGGUGAAAGCCUACAGCUCAACUGUAGAAUUGCCAUUGAUACUGGCGCUCUUGAGUGCGCUUGAAGUAGGCGGAAUGUGCCGUGUAGCGGUGAAAUGCUUAGAUAUGGCACAGAACACCAAUUGCGAAGGCAGCUUACUAAGGCGAUACUGACACUGAGGCACGAAAGCGUGGGGAUCGAACAGGAUUAGAUACCCCAGUAGUC
rnacentral:rRNA from 1 species